AUGGCGUCGCCCGGGUCGCGGCGGCGGGCGUACGUGCGGAUCAUGGCCGACACCAUCCUCGGCGGCGGCGGCCACGGCUUCUACGUCAUGCACCGCAUCGAGACCUCCUACAAGGCGAGGAUGGAGGAGAGGCUGCGCCGAUGGCAAGCUUGA
rnacentral:rRNA from 1 species